UACGUAGGGUCCGAGCGUUGUCCGGAAUUACUGGGCGUAAAGAGCUCGUAGGUGGUUUGUCGCGUUGUUCGUGAAAACUCACAGCUCAACUGUGGGCGUGCGGGCGAUACGGGCAGACUUGAGUACUGCAGGGGGAGACUGGAAUUCCUGGUGUAGCGGUGGAAUGCGCAGAUAUCAGGAGGAACACCGGUGGCGAAGGCGGGUCUCUGGGCCGAUACUGACGCUGAGGAGCGAAAGCGUGGGGAGCGAACAGG
rnacentral:rRNA from 1 species